CGGAUGUAGGCUGCAACUCGCCUACAUGAAGUUGGAAUCGCUAGUAAUCGCGAAUCAGAAUGUCGCGGUGAAUACGUUCCCGGGUCUUGUACACACCGCCCGUCACACCACGAGAGUUUACAACACCCGAAGUCAGUGGCCUAACCGCAAGGAGGGAGCUGCCUAAGGUGGGGUAGAUGAUUGGGGUGAAGUCGUAACAAGGUACC
rnacentral:rRNA from 1 species